CCUACGGGAGGCAGCAGUGGGGAAUAUUGCACAAUGGGGGAAACCCUGAUGCAGCGACGCCGCGUGAGUGAAGAAGUAAUUCGUUAUGUAAAGCUCUAUCAGCAGGGAAGAAAAUGACGGUACCUGAGUAAGAAUCCCCGGCUAACUACGUGCCAGCAGCCGCGGUAAGACGUAGGGGGCAAGCGUUAUCCGGAUUUACUGGGUGUAAAGGGAGCGUAGACGGCAGUGCAAGUCUGGAGUGAAAGGCGGGGGCUCAACCCCCGGACUGCUCUGGAAACUGUACGGCUGGAGUGCAGGAGAGGUAAGUGGAAUUCCUAGUGUAGCGGUGAAAUGCGUAGAUAUUAGGAGGAACACCAGUGGCGAAGGCGGCUUACUGGACUGUAACUGACGUUGAGGCUCGAAAGCGUGGGGAGCAAACAGGAUUAGAUACCCGAGUAGUC
rnacentral:rRNA from 1 species